CUCUCUUCAGUUUCAGUAUUUCAGUUUUAGUAAUUGUUCAGAUCGUCGUCACAUCUUCUGUUAGUCUAAAUUCUGUAGCAUGUUCAUUAGUAUCAGUCAAUGUUCAGAUAGCUGAUUCAUCAGUCAAUGUUCAGAGAGCAUCAGUAAUAUCUUCAGUUCAUUCUAGUGUUUCUUCGGUCUUCUUUUUUGCUGUCUCCAGUGUCUCUUUUUUUUCUGAAAACUGAUCGCUGGAAGUUCAUCUUAGCUAUACAUUGGCAUCAAGGACCAAGUGUAGUAUUUGUACCCAAGUUCUUCAGGUUUCAGUUUCUUAACAAAGAGCGGCGUCAGUUUCUGGUUCCAGUAGGUGUAAUUUGCUUCAGUCCACAGUAGGUGUCAUUUUCAGGUUUCUGUAUGUGUCUUUUUCUGUUUUUCAUUUUAGUCAUGGACACUUAAUUAGGGUGUCACAUAGGCAGCACCCAUGCUUAUUCAUUCCUGAAAGAAUAACAACACUGAUGUAUCUUAUUCAGACUCAUGUGUGUGGUUAGGAGCCAGUUUGAACCUAUUAAUUAAGUAAGCUAUCAGUUUAUUUUUUUAGUUUGUGCAUUAUAAUUGUUUUCUUAGUAUAUCCAGUGCACAAUCAAUUAUCAGAAUUAUUCAUUCACUGAGGUUUCAUCCUGCUGGGUUCAGGUGUAUUGUUGUUGUGUAUUUUCUAAGACUUAUCAAUUUAAAUUCAGUCUUUGCAGCAGGAAGGUGAUCACAUUUUUUCUUGAGUUCUUCUCUGCCAAGUAAAAUAGCAAGGACACAAGUAAGCCUUAUUCUGUUUCUGAAUCGAGCUAAAUUUUGCUGGCCUUUGUUACCUGAUAUGAUUCCCCUUGGGGCGGCUCCAGGCGGCCGUGCUUCCGUUUUAUGAUUUCAAUCUUGUUUCAUUUAGUUGAUCAGUAUCCCAACAUCAGUCUUGUGGUUGAUUCACUAAUUUUAGUCUGUAGUUGAUUCCCGCAUUUAAGCUUGGGCAAAAAGAGCUUCACUAUGACCGAGUAUGACACCACACCCGAUGGUCUGAUCUUCUUCAAGCAUGGAUGGAAGAAGUUUCUUACUAGGACUGGACUUGAGGUUGGAGCGGAUGUGCUAAUAACAUGCAAGACAAAGGUCGGCAAUGAGCUCGAGAUGAUCGUUCUUAGUCUAUUGGUCUAUCAAGGAUUAUUAUUAUCAGUCAUU
rnacentral:lncRNA from 1 species